rnacentral:rRNA from 1 species
GUGGGGGACAACAGUUGGAAACGACUGCUAAUACCGCAUAAGCCCACGGAUCCGCAUGAAUCUGCGGGAAAAGGAUUUAUUCGCUUCAGGAUGGACUCGCAGUCCAACUUAGCUAGAUUGGUGAAGGUAACGGCCCACCAAGGCGACGAUUGGUAGCCGGACUGAGAGGUUGAACGGCCACAUUGGGACUGAGACACGGCCCAGACUCCUACGGGAGGCAGCAGUGGGGGAUAUUGCACAAUGGGGGAAACCCUGAUGCAGCGACGCCGCGUGGAGGAAGAAGGUUUUCGGAUUGUAAACUCCUGUCGUUAGGGACGAUAAUGACGGUACCUAACAAGAAAGCACCGGCUAACUACGUGCCAGCAGCCGCGGUAAAACGUAGGGUGCAAGCGUUGUCCGGAAUUACUGGGUGUAAAGGGAGCGCAGGCGGACCGGCAAGUUGGAAGUGAAAACUAUGGGCUCAACCCAUAAAUUGCUUUCAAAACUGCUGGCCUUGAGUAGUGCAGAGGUAGGUGGAAUUCCCGGUGUAGCGGUGGAAUGCGUAGAUAUCGGGAGGAACACCAGUGGCGAAGGCGACCUACUGGGCACCAACUG